UACGGAGGGUGCAAGCGUUAAUCGGAAUUACUGGGCGUAAAGCGCACGCAGGCGGUCUGUUAAGUCAGAUGUGAAAUCCCCGGGCUUAACCUGGGAACUGCAUUUGAAACUGGCAGGCUUGAGUCUUGUAGAGGGGGGUAGAAUUCCAGGUGUAGCGGUGAAAUGCGUAGAGAUCUGGAGGAAUACCGGCGGCGAAGGCGGCCCCCUGGACAAAGACUGACGCUCAGGUGCGAAAGCGUGGGGAGCAAACAGG
rnacentral:rRNA from 1 species